rnacentral:rRNA from 1 species
UAGCCAUGGGCAGGUUGAAGGUUAGGUAACACUAACUGGAGGACCGAACCGACUAAUGUUGAAAAAUUAGCGGAUGACUUGUGGCUGGGGGUGAAAGGCCAAUCAAACCGGGAGAUAGCUGGUUCUCCCCGAAAUCUAUUUAGGUAGAGCCUUGAGCGGACACCUUCGGGGGUAGAGCACUGUUUCGGCUAGGGGGCCAUCCCGGCUUACCAACCCGAUGCAAACUACGAAUACCGAAGAGUGAUACUCAGGAGACACACGGCGGGUGCUAACGUCCGUCGUGGAGAGGGAAACAACCCAGACCGCCAGCUAAGGUCCCAAAGUCUAUAUUAAGUGGGAAACGAAGUGGGAAGGCUUAGACAGCUAGGAUGUUGGCUUAGAAGCAGCCAUCAUUUAAAGAAAGCGUAAUAGCUCACUAGUCGAGUCGGCCUGCGCGGAAGAUGUAACGGGGCUCAAAUAUAGCACCGAAGCUGCGGCAUCAGACGUAAGUCUGUUGGGUAGGGGAGCGUUGUGUAAGCGGAUGAAGGUUCAUCGAGAGGUGGGCUUGACGUAUCACAAGUGCGAAUGCUGACAUAAGUAACGAUAAAACGGGUGAAAAACCCGUUCGCCGGAAGACCAAGGGUUCCUGUCCAACGUUAAUCGGGGCAGGGUGAGUCGGCCCCUAAGGCGAGGCUGAAAAGCGUAGUCGAUGGGAAACGGGUUAAUAUUCCCGUACUUGGUAAAGCUGCGAUGUGGGGACGGAGCAGGUUAGGUUAGCGUACUGUUGGAUAUGUACGUUUAAGUUCGUAGGUGGGGAGUUUAGGCAAAUCCGGACUUCCUUAACACUGAGAGAUGAUGACGAGGCUCUACGGAGCCGAAGUAACUGAUACCACACUUCCAGGAAAAGCCACUAAGCGAAAGGCUUUACUAAACCGUACUGAAAACCGACACAGGUGGUCAGGUAGAGAAUACUCAGGCGCUUGAGAGAACUCGGGAGAAGGAACUCGGCAAAUUGACACCGUAACUUCGGAAGAAGGUGUGCCGUAGUACCGUGAGAGGAGAGACACCUUGAGCGGGAAACGGUCUCAGAGAAUAGGUGGCUGCGACUGUUUAUUAAAAACACAGCACUCUGCAAAGUCGAAAGACGACGUAUAGGGUGUGAUGCCUGCCCGGUGCUGGAAGGUUAAUUGAUGGUGUAAUCGAAAGAGAAGCUCCUGAUCGAAGCCCCAGUAAACGGCGGCCGUAACUAUAACGGUCCUAAGGUAGCGAAAUUCCUUGUCGGGUAAGUUCCGACCUGCACGAAUGGCAUAAUGAUGGCCAGGCUGUCUCCACCCGAGACUCAGUGAAAUUGAAAUCGCCGUGAAGAUGCGGUGUACCCGCGGCUAGACGGAAAGACCCCGUGAACCUUUACUAUAGCUUGACACUGAACAUUGAAUUUUGAUGUGUAGGAUAGGUGGGAGACUUUGAAGUAGUCACGCCAGUGAUUAUGGAGUCGUCCUUGAAAUACCACCCUUUAACGUUUGAUGUUCUAACGAAGAUUACGAAACGUGGUCUCGGACAGUGUCUGGUGGGUAGUUUGACUGGGGCGGUCUCCUCCCAAAGAGUAACGGAGGAGCACGAAGGUUUGCUAAUCACGGUCGGACAUCGUGAGGUUAGUGCAAUGGUAUAAGCAAGCUUAACUGCGAGACAGACAAGUCGAGCAGGUACGAAAGUAGGUCAUAGUGAUCCGGUGGUUCUGAAUGGAAGGGCCAUCGCUCAACGGAUAAAAGGUACUCCGGGGAUAACAGGCUGAUACCGCCCAAGAGUUCAUAUCGACGGCGGUGUUUGGCACCUCGAUGUCGGCUCAUCACAUCCUGGGGCUGAAGUAGGUCCCAAGGGUAUGGCUGUUCGCCAUUUAAAGUGGUACGCGAGCUGGGUUUAGAACGUCGUGAGACAGUUCGGUCCCUAUCUGCCGUGGGCGUUGGAGAAUUGAUUGGGGCUGCUCCUAGUACGAGAGGACCGGAGUGGACGCACCACUGGUGUUCCGGUUGUGUCGCCAGACGCAUUGCCGGGUAGCUAAGUGCGGAAGAGAUAAGUGCUGAAAGCAUCUAAGCACGAAACUUGCCAAGAGAUGAGUUCUCCCUGUCUUUAAGACAGUAAGGGUUGU